UACGGGGGGGGCAAGCGUUGUUCGGAAUUACUGGGCGUAAAGGUUCGUAGGUGGCCUGUUAAGUCAGACGUGAAAUCCCUCAGCUCAACUGGGGAACUGCGUCUGAGACUGGUGGGCUUGAGUGCAGGAGAGGAACGCGGAAUUCCAGGUGUAGCGGUGAAAUGCGUAGAUAUCUGGAGGAACACCGGUGGCGAAGGCGGCGUUCUGGACUGCAACUGACACUGAUGAACGAAAGCCAGGGAGCAAACGGG
rnacentral:rRNA from 1 species